CGCGGCAUGUGGGAUCUUCCCGGACCGGGGCACGAACCCGUGUCCCCUGCAUCGGCAGGCGGACUCUCAACCACUGCGCCACCAGGGAAGCCCUAUCUGUGCUCUCUUUUAGCUCAUCGACCACCUUUUAUUAUUUUGAAUUAAUUGGUAAUUCAUAGAUCUCUCCUUCUCUAGGGUUGGCUUCUGGAGAUUUUAUUCUGAUCAGGUGGUUGGGCUGUGUUUCCCCUUUUCUUUGUGUGCCAUGUAAUCUUUUAUUGGGAAUUGGGCAUUUGGAAAAACAGCCACCUCUCCCAGUCUCUGGACUGGCCUCGUAUGGGGGAAGUCAUCUCAGCUAGAGAUUUGGGGGACCUUUCAACCCUUUUCUGGGGAUGCAUCUUCUCUGGGCUUGUGUGUAUGAUUUCCUAGUUAGACUUGCCACUGUUUUCUUCUCAGGAGCCUGCAGUCUCUUACUCCCUCUGGUGUCUGUCUGUGGUACUGCAUUCCCCACGGUAUAACUUGGACAGAACAUGACUGUUCUCAAGGGCCCCCCAACCUGGCAUCCUUCCCAAAUCAGUGUCCUGAGUCAGAGAGACAGAAACUAGUCUCUUAGGCAGCCCCUCAAAAAGCCAAAACUUUGGACUCAUGUGUCACUCUUUUUUUUCCCUCCCAGGAGAGAAGCUGGGAGUUUUCUGGUCUUCUGUCCUCACUGGGGGAGUGGGAGGGACUAGGGCAGGCAAAAUGCGAGCAACGUUCUUACAUCCUGUGUGGCUCUUCUUGGCUUUGUGCUCACCUGGUGCUGCAGCCUCUUACCUGGUUUCUGGAGUUCUCACAAGGACACUGGUCUGUGUGUCCCUGCUAGGUCGUUGUCUCUGCGUGGGAAUGAGGGUCUGGAGCUUCCUAUUCCUCUGUCUCGCUGACGUCACUCUAAGGACUCUUGCUGAAAUAUAAUCAAAUAUCGUUACCACUAAAAAUAGCAGUAAUCUCUUAAUAUCCUUAAAUAUCCAGUAGUAGUCAAAUUUCCUUGAAUGUUUUUAUUGCGUAUUUAUUUGAAUAGGGAUCUAACUGAUUGAUGUGUUCCUCAAAUUUCUUUCGAUCUAGUGGUUCCCCUUCCAUCUAAGAAAUCAUUUAAAUACACACAGGCCUCACUUUGCAUGGGACCAGAGAAAGUAAACACGCAAGCUGAAAACAUGGAAAAUGGUCCUAAUAAUCAAUAGGAAAAAAUUAUGAUUGUUCUGUGCCUGUAAAACUUUACAAAAUAUUAAGUCUUUUGCUUUCAGUUAUAACUGUAAAGGGAAAUGUAAAAUAGUAGAACUUAUAUUCAAUAUACUAUCACCUAAAACAUUAGUAAUAUUGAGAAUUAAAGUAUUCUGUGUCUUUGUGAAAAAAGAAGAAAGCAAAAAACAAAAACUCAAUAGUAGUUUGAACAGUGCUUACCUUCUCAUCACAUAACUUACAGGCAUUUUUUUCUGUGCCUUGGUGAGUUGUCAUAUUUCUAACUUUGGUCAUGAGACAUUUCUGGAUUCUUUUUAAUGUGUAGCUUUUUAAUGGUAUCCCUCCUCUGGGACAUCAUCGUCCUUCUCAUCACAGCAGCUUUCCUUAUUCAUCUCAGUAAGCCUGUCUUCACUAAGUCCCUUUGGCUGCAUCUCUGAGCCUCUCAAUGUCGCACUGUCAACACGCCCAUGGUCCACUGUUUGUUCCGUAACGCCAUUUACAUUUGAUUCAAACUUCACUUCCAUCGUUCUCACACUUUGUUUCUUUGCUGUGCUUUUGUCUUUGUUGGCCAAUUUCCUGUUCUAGCUCUCCAUUUUUGUAAAGUGUCACAUGGGUUUAUUGCUGGGAGACACAGCAGCAACACAACUACAUGCUUUGUUGUCUUUGCUGCCUCUGUGAAGACUGAAUAACAUGUGCUUGGUGACCAAUCACUAGACUUUGAAAGAAAUGACGUUCUCUGUGUGUGUGUUAUUUACUCGGUGAAUUGUGGACUGAAGAGCUAGCCACAGAGUUUAUCCUCUGCAAUUAUUCACAAAUGAUACACUGUAGUGGCUGUUAACAGGAGCUGUGUUCGUGGGGACUGCUGGUGUCUCCCUCAGCUGUGAUAACCAAAGCUCGUGCUUACCAGAACCUUGCAAAGCCAAGACAGCCUGCACUUGUCUUAGAAGCAUCUCUUAUUUCUUGGGGGCAGUUGUCUAUUUAUUUUGGCUUUUCCUUUUGAAACUGUGGGGAGCUUUGUUUUCUUUUAUUCAUAAUUAAGAAUUAUAAUUAAGCUUUUCUUUCUGGUACUGGUCUGGAUUUUCCCUCAUACGUAGAUGGACCUGGUCCUCUGAUAUGCCUUUCUUCACCAUUAGAAGGAUGUCCAUGGACUGGAAUUCCCAGUAGGGUCCACCUGUAGGGAGUCAACUGCUAUACUGGGGACCCUCACAACAGACACCCCUUAAGUGAAGAGCAACAGUUGGUCACACUUGAUACUUUAUCUUUUCCCAGGCGUCAUCCGACUUACAGAUUCUUCCUCAUCCAGGACACACCUCGUUAGCAAGAGAGGUGGAGUAACGUGGUGUGGGGCAGAGGCUCCUAAGCAAGGCUGUCUGUCCUCAGCAAUUGAAUCUGCUCUUUCCUAGCUGAGACUGUGAAGAGUUCAGAAGUCGUUAUUCCCCUCCUAUGACAAGAAAAAGCUGGACACGUGGCAAAACGAAGACUUUCCUUGCACCCAUCUGAGACAUGCAGCCACAGGGCAAACCGUCCUCCCCAAAUCUGGAGAGUUGGUCACAACCAGAAAGAUCCUUGGGGCAGAAGCUACGGGAUGCCAAGGUGGCGGGAAUAUUUAAACCAGCCCUCAGGACCCUCUUUGCCCUCUCUCCCCACCCUGCUUCCUGGAGAACGUCCCUUCCGUUCUCCAGAAGGUUCCAGAACACACAGCACAAUAUAUCUUUAUGUGUUUUUAUUAAUCCCAGGGACUCAGGAUUGGCAUGAAACUUAUUAGAGCGAAUUUAAAGCAUUGCAAAAUUUUACUGCAACUUUGAAGAGAUUCCUGAGGGAUUUUUUUUUUUUUUACUUGAAAAUUUAAUAAAAUAACCCCUUGGUCAUGAAUCUUUCCCCGGGGAAGUUGAUGGGGAAUUGUGUUCACACCUGCAGUGACGUGUACUCCAGACUCGAUUCAAUCAUAGAUCUCUGUGACCUCAACUCACCUACAGAUGGCACUGAAAGGCAUGAAAACGGUUCAAAUCUAUUCUAAUUACAGUGACGUAUGCAAUUCUGCAAAGUCAAUGAACAAUUCCUGAAGCUGCCACACAGCAAAAUGGCGAGGAGUUGCACGAAAACCGAAAUCCUACUUCAUUCAAUCAACAGGGAAAUGUUUUUAUUGUCUCUAAUUUUCAUUUAUUUUAAAAUCAACUUAUAAGCAUUGUGAAUGGACCUCUCUCAGAGAAAAUUCAACUAAACUCACCAUCCCUUUUGCUGUUGGCAGUUUUAGGGAGGGGUGCACUCUCUCAGGAGGACACAGAGGGAUGCAUUCUGUCUUCCUAACUGAGGACCCACUCUCCUGCGAGAGAACAUCUUAGCGCAGCGAGAGGCUGUUCCUUCCCAGCACCACGAAGACUCCAGCCCGCUCCUGUUAAAGCCCCGGCCAGGGUCAUUCUGUGUCUGUUUUUGCUGGAGGUGAUCUUGGAGGCAGCCCCUCCUCCCGGUGCUUUGUCCCGGGAAAAGCCGCCUCUCCUCGGCCUGUCUCCCACCCUCUCAAAGUCCCGAGACUCUCAUGCUAGGAGACCCUUAAAUCUGUGAAAAGCAACACAGUGCAGAGCAUUCACGGUACAGACCCUGAAAGGAAUGCACGGAUUCCCAGCUUUUAUUAGACAGGUAACAGCAGCUCCAGUGCUGUCUUUGUAACAUCCUAGAAUUGGAGGAGAAAACAGCAAAAUCUUCAGAAUCAUAAAACCUGUGUUGCCAUAAAAUAAACGCCUGUCCGUCUUAGAUCAUCGUAAGACCCAGGCUCUAUUCUUCCUCUAGGGCCUGGGUGUCAAAGGUGUUUUCCUUCGUGUAACAGGGGCCGGUCUUGUCUCCCAGCUGACCUUGUCCCACUUCAGCCAUGCACCCAACGUGACGGUUGUUCUGAUCCGUUCCUGUCGUGAAAGGAAGAUGUGUCCGAAGGACUUCAGGAAAAGCGUUCUGGACCAGGGGGAGACCGCCUCUGUUUCAUCUCCUGAGUGUCACCGGGUUAGAUGCAGCCCAGGGAACAUGGUGUGGGCUCAGGGCAUGGGGAGGCUCCGGCUGGGCCUUUGCAGCCGGAUCCCAGAUUCUUUUCCAUUAUGGAAGAUGACUUCUUAACCCAAGGACAUACCUCUUAAUCUAAGAUCCCAUGCAGGUGACCGCAGGACACGUGGCCGUCCUGUCUCCUCUAGUUGAUCUUGAUGACCUUGACGGUUCUGAGGCUACUGGCUGCGAAUAUUUUAAGAUGCCCCUCGGUUUGCAUGUGUCUGAUGCUUUUCUGGUGAUCUAGCCGGGUUACGGAUUUGGUGGCAGAAGACCACAGAGGUGCCGGGCUGUUUCAUCACCUGGUGUCACGCAGUUGAUAUGACCAAUCACUGUGCAUGUUGACCUUGGUCACCCGGCUGAAGGGGUGCUUGUCGGGUUUCCCCACCAUCAAGGCCCGAGCAGCCCUUUGGAGUGUGGCUGGGACAUUUUCAAAGCUGUUGACAGAUGGGGAGCUGCUCUUCAGAGAGGGGGCCUCAUCCCCGUUGACUGCGCCCCCCCCCCCCCCCCACCGCCUGCAGAGCGAAGGUGGCCCAGGGCCAGGCGUAUCCGCUGCCGUUCUUGGGCCCCUCCCCAGACCUCCAGCCCAGAACCGGAAGCUCAGCGGGGGAUGAGAAGGCAGGGAUUUGUGAUAAGGAGGUGAUUCGGAGACACUCUCAAGUUUGAGACUCGUGCCUAAGCUCCACCCAUCUGGGGGGCUCUGUCCUUGAAGCCCCCCGACGUCCCUGCCCCACCUCCCCCUUCGCUGCAGCCUUUCUCUGAAACUCCCUGCGGCCUCUUCUUCCGCUACCGGCGCUCGGCCCCUCUUCAGAGCCAGUCCCGAAUGUCACUUCUUUAUGAAGGCUUUUUGCUUUAUCUCCAUGCCUGUUCUUGUAACCAGCCCUGCGGUCUCUCCUCAGAAGGACCUUCUUCACCUUCUGUACCUACUUUUUUCUUUAUAAUAGUUUUCUUGCACCUGCACUUGUCCCCUUAAAGCCAGCCAUCUGAGACUGUGUUCAGGACUGUGUUCAACAAAGCACUGUAUUGAAUGACUACUAUUAACCCAUGGAAAACCUUCUUUAAAACUAAGUACAUGGACAAAAAAGAGAUUAGGAGUGAUGAUUCACUUUGGGAAAAAAAUGUCUUACAAAGAAGGAUUCAAAAGAUAAUCCUUUAACAGGGCAAUUGUUUGAAAAUGAUUUCUCUCUCCCAUCAAAACAUCUGGGCUCUGGCUCCCACCGACAGUCUGAAGGCUUCCGUGUCUGAUGUGUUCCCAGUUCUGUCACAUGUACCCGCCUGCCCACAUCAGAGAGACUCUCUCAGGGCACUUAGAUUUGGGAGUCUGCCAUCUAGUGCUCAGAGUUGAAUGGAACGCUCCCGCGUGGUCUGACUUUCGUGAAAGCGCAUCUCUUUUUGUUCAUGGUCCUUUGCCAGCUACUUCACUCUUUAUUUCAGCAACCACAGCUCACUGGCGGCUCUGUGGGCAACUAAAACCACCAGACGCCUCUCCUCACUUGAACUGCGAAGUCUCAGACCGCCCUGACGUGCGUCUGAUCAGAGAGUAUGUUAAUGACUCUGUUGUUUCAAACAGAUGCAUAAAUACUUUGCAUCCUGGAACAUGGCUGCAUCAAAUGAGUUUUGAGUGACCACAACCCCCACGUCGUCUAUUUGAACUGGACUCACCACUGAUGCUGAAAGGUCCUGAAAGGUCUUGCCUGCCCUCCAAGCCCUCUGGCCCGUCCCCUUCGCCACACAAGUGCAAAAUACUCCAAACCACGUUUUUAAAGAACUCAUUUGGUGGUAAAACCUGAUCCAGAGCUAUUUAUAGGCUAUAUUCAUCCCACUUCCUAUGAGUUCGGGCAUUUUUCCCUGCAGAAAUGUUUUAUUUGAUUAAUGGUUUCUUCUCUAGUGUUCACUGAGGGUUUGCCACCAAAUAUUCAUUGUAUUAACCUCUUAAAUAAAAAACAAAAACAAAAAACAAACCGUAAAUCAAAAACACAUCUGACCCUGAGGGUGGCAGAUGAGGGCGUAGGGACUUGUCUGAGCCCCAGCAUAAGUGUAAUUUAAAAAAAUUCACAGAUUGUUUUCUUGCUUUGUGGCACGGUAUUGACUUUUGGUGCUGUAAAUAGAGCCACCUUUGGUUCUAGAAGUUCUGUAUUAACAUUGCACAUUGGCCAAUCCGGAUUAUAUCUGACAAAUCUCUCCAACGGCCUAGAGAUGGAAGCCACCAAGACUGCCCCCAUCAUUUCCAGAUUUAAGGGAAACAUUCACUAUCACUUGGUGACCAUCUUGGGAGCCUUGGGACAUUUCUGGCACUUGCUCCUACUCAAAGAAUUUAGAUUCUUAAGAACACAGGAAAUUAAAUUGGAAGGCUUGCCUCCUACACAUUUAUCAUAUUAGAACUUUCUGGGAUAAAAUUUUAUCAGUUUAAUACAGCUUCAUGACAUGAAAUGGAGCACAAACGUUAUCAAAGCAUUUUAUUCAAAGGCGUGGUCUCUGUAAGUUGUCUUUUUAAAAAGUGUGAAUGGUGAGUUAAAUUAUUGCGUGACUUUUCUCCCCAAAUUAAAAUUUUUAGAAGAAAUUUCCUCUCACAUCUGUGUGGACUCCAGUGGGGCAUUUUUAAAGUAAUUCCUUUGCCCACUUAGAUUAUCCAGCUGAGUCAGGAUUAUUCCACGGUAAAGGUAUUUCACUUGUUUUAUUUUGCAAGAAAACACGAAGAGAAGCCAAUCUAUUCCUUUCGUGGCCCUGAAUGCCUCUGAUUUCUCAGCCAUGCAAUAGUGACAGUACCAGUCAGAACUUCAGGAGUGAUUGUGUGAGUUCAAGGUAACUUUUUUAAGAGCCAAAGCACAGAAGAGAACAAGGAGAGAAUGGUGGGUGUAUGGGUAUCUUUGUGUAUUUAUAGUCAUCAUUCCCAUCAGGAAGAAUGGCCAGGUGUCCUCAGUUCAUCAGGUAGUCAAAGUGUAGAGAUAGAGAACUGAAGUCUCAUUCAACCAGCGGAAGUAGAAAUGAAGAUACAGAGAGGAAAGGUGGGUGGUGUGAGCGCAUCUGAGAGAUGCUCUGGGCAGAGGACACAGGAAGCUUGGGUGUGGAACAUGGCAGUUAAAAUCAUGAGGGUGGGGGGCUGAGCAAUUGUUUUAAUUCAGUGAAGCCUGUCAGAUGCUGGUGUUUUGCUACUGAGUACCUUUCAGCAGCUACUGCCCAGGAUGUAGUUUGUUUGGGCAAAGGGAAAGCCUUCACCACAGGCAAAAUGAGAAAUGAGCUUAUACUUGUGUUUCAGUGCCCUUGAUCUAUCCCACUGUGUAAGCAAGUAAAUACGGCUCCUCCUUUAACUGACCCCCUUCUACACUCUUGGGACAGGAGUCAAGGCGUCUGUGGUGUACGUAGAGUGUCCCCUAAAAGAAGGCCUGGACAUGCUUUCCCAGUGGGAUUCUGACAGCACCUCGGGAGGCCUUCUUGGAGGGGCUACAGAAGUACCAAGUGUCCCCUCCUCCUCGGGACACGUGUCAGGCCUCCGAGCUUUACCUUAGGUUCUGUGAGCUUCCCGUACCUAAGGAAGGAAAAAGGCACAUUUCUUCCUCCUUCUUCCUCCUUUUUGACUACAUCGUCCUCAGGGAAACCGAACUAUCUGGGGAAAGAGAAGGUUCUUUUGAGCAGAUCACUUUGCAAUAUGGGUCAAAGCUGGGGGGUGGCUCUCAAGCCUGGGCAUGCAUUAUACUAACCUUAAAUUCACUGGGAAGCUUUUCAAGUACACUGACACAUCCCCUCCCCGCUCCCCCAGGGCAGAACAACAGAGUCAGUGUCUAGGGGUGGGGGGGAGGAUUCCGGUUUUCAAGUUCUCAGUGACCUGGGACGUGAAGAUGUAAGCCAGCCUGCACGCCUCUGCACACCGAGAUUAAACAAACACCUACCCAGCCCCUGAUUCUGCCUGCCAGGAACCCUAACGGUGUGUGCUGUCCACCGAGCACCCUGUGUAUGGGCACAGGCUGAGAGUAAGCCAGGAGGCCCGAGGUGACGGAGGAGAUGCUGGAAGCAAAGGAGCACAGACUUGACCGAGGGGGACAGUGGAAAGUAAAAUGGCCAAAGGAAGCAGAAUUGUGAGGAGAAAAACACGGUGAAGAUGAAUUUAGUAAUUUCUUAGAGACUUCUUUUUGCUUUAGGGAUUCCUUACACUUUCUCUCCACGCUGGGUCACGUGUGUGAUUCUGAACUAAAGCGUGAACAGGUGGGUGUUUGUAGAAGAUGUGCCGUUGGCGAAUCAGGUGACCAGCUAUGCAGGCAUUAGAUGACAAUAGUUCACCUGUGUGGAGAUGGCUCUUGUGAGUUGAGAAUUUUAGACCGUUUUUUUGUUUUUUUAAAAAAAAGAUCACACGGGAAAAGAAGUUAAAAUUUAGGGAAAGCAAAAUAUUCCAUCCCUUUCCCCAGGCACCCAACAUCUAGGCAACACCAAGUGAAACUGUAAUGGUGCUUGCUAAGCCUGUUUGAAAACAAAUCCUGUUGGGCCCCCAUAAAGGGAUAAUCAGCUGUCCAGCCCAGCAACUCCUCUGUUCUUCGAUCUGAAAACACUCAAAAGAUGGAGGUAGAACUUGUACACAAUUUUUUAAAGGAUGUAUCCAAUGGAAUCACCUCUCAUCCCACCCCCACCACCUGGUACUCGUUUUUAUAUUGAUGACAGUAGGAGAUGUUAAACACCAGUGAAAAGCUUCACGUUACUGGGCCG